UCAAGUUAAAUUUCUUCAAAGGACUUCCGUUUCCAAGAAGGCAUUGGAAAGUUUUUGGAGCUUCAUUGAACGCAACGAUAAAAGUAUUCUCAACUGUUACGAGGCUUUAAUCGAUGAAGACGAGUUCGUAAAGAUGAUAUUUUAUGAUGCACUGUUUAUCAUGGAGCUCUUCUUGAGGAACUAUGAGAAGGAGGUGGAAAAAAAUUCGGACAUCAAAGACUUGUUGUUGAAAGAAACAUGGUCCGCUGGUCUACGGAGGGAUUUGAUCUUACUUGAAAACCAGAUCCCAAUGUUCGUGCUUGAAGAACUGUAUAAACCAUAUGAAAACCACAAACUAGCAUCAGAUGCCUCUGUUCCUUCUUUCCUUAAACUAGCUUGCUCCUACUUUGACAUUCCAUGGGACCCGCAGUUCGAGCAUAUAGAAAUCCCACACUUCACCGCUUUGCAAAGAUGCCAUAUGACCAAAACACAAAAUCCAUCAUCAAAGACCAAGAUCCCAACGUUGAAAAAAGUGUAUGGUGCCACAAGUUUGCAUGAAGUUGGUGUUGAGCUUAUAGUUGAACCUAAUCAAACUGCAUGUUUGCUUGAUGUUAAAUUUGACGGUAAAAAGCUUAAAAUCCCCAAAUUGACCGUGCACUCCAACACUGAAGCUUACCUUCGGAACGUCAUGGCGUUCGAGAUGUGCCAUUGUCCAGAUGAAGCCUACGUUUGUGCUUACAUAGAACUAAUGAAUUAUCUUAUUCCAACUGCCCAAGAUGUAGAACAGUUAAUAGAAGAAGGGAUUUUAAGCAAGGAAGGCAAAAACGAAGGAAGACUGGUUACCAUAAUAAACACAAAUAUAGCGGUGCAACGUAUGAUUAAGAAACUUAUGCAGGGAAUUGGGGAGCCACCUGCUUGCUACCGGGAAACCGCGAACCGAUUGAACCAGCUUUAUAAAGAGGGUCGGAAGCGCAAAGUGACAUUAUUCAUCAAGGAAAAUUAUGGAAUUCUGAAGCGUGUUUACUUCCCCAAUCUUUGGAGAGGAACAGGGACUGUUGCUGCUUUUAUGGUGGUCGUCCUCACCUGCAUACAAACCGUGUUUGCUUUUGUGAAUUAAUUUUUAGUAUUAUCGUGCUGGUGUGUUUUCAAUAAAAUACGAAUUCCUAUGCAUUUGUAUGUAAUGAAAGUAGUGAUUGAAGUUUUCAUGGUUUUGCUUUUAGUUUGGCAUUUGGCUACGGUCAAAUAUUUUAGUGUAUAUUAAGUUAUUAUCAUGCCAAAGUUGACAUUAUAUGCCCUAUCACCUAAUUUUUCUGGGUAUGUAAUCUUCAGUACCUGCUUGCACAAACCACACCAUCUGCUUAACUUAUCGUUGCUCCGUCACUCAACCCAACUCCUGACCUCUUCAUCUGCACCCAUCUAUCUAUAUAUCUAGUAAAGAAGGUUGAGGUUAAAGAUGAUCAAUUGAACAACUUAAGGGAGGAACAGGUUGUGGAUGGUAGAGAUUUAGUGAAUAAAGGAGAAGGAAAAGAAAGAAGGGAGAAAGGAAAAAGAAAGAAAAUCUCGCAUGUCAUUUAAGAAAGUAAGUAAUUAAUAUUCAGAAAAAAGAAGAAGGAACAAUUCUUCUUAAAUACUUGGCAUACUUUGUAUGUUAGCUACCUUAGUUUUGGCAUAAUUUUUACUAAGACAUAGCACUUAAAAUAACAAGUGAGCAGAAGUAUCCAUGUUCAUUAGUAGGUAUAAGCAAACUCAAAACAUAUCAAUUCAUCACUUUCACAUAACUUGUCUCAAUGUCAUAUUAUUCUAUCAUUAUCUAUAAUAACAUAACAACUUCACAUAGUUCAUUUUUAAUGUCAUAUUCCAUUACCGAUCUAUAAGAUUAUACUAAUUCCAUACAACUCCUUUCAAUGUUAUAUCAAAUUAUUUUAUCAACUCAUUUCAUUACAUUUUCAAGUUUUAUAUUCCAAUUAUCAUGUUUCGCCAGAUGGAACCUUAGUGAUACAUAGGUAAACUAUGCCAUACUAGGUUGCUCAUCCAAGCUAUAUAAUACUCGAUGAUCCGCAACAGAUGUUGAAUCUCAAUAUAACCUAUAAUAAUCUUCGUACAAUCACAUAUCCCGUUCCAGCACGCAUAUAACUCAAUGGGCAUCAAUUACACAUAUUUCAUUAUCAUCCCUAUAAUCAAUCAAUUUUAUACAUUUAUACUCUAUAGUCAUUCAAAUUUUCACAUUUAUCAUGCAAUAGUCAAUCAUCACAUGGCAUUCCAAUUCAUUCCAUUAGUAGCCAUAUAUGUCAAAUUCACUAAUAUUUUAAAUUAUACUCAAACAUAGAUAUAUCAAAUUAAACACAAGCACACAUAUCAUACAAAAAUGAGAUAGUAAAUUCCAUAUGAACUUACCUAUUCAAAACAAAACACUAGUCGAUUCUUUAGAGACUAAUCCUUAAUUUUAGCUUUUCCCCUAUUAACUCCACUUUGAACCAAAUCUUGAUAUAUACAAUUAUUUUAUAUAAAAAUUCAAUACCAAACAUUUUCAUACAAUUUCCUGAUAUGCAUGAUCCUAUAUAAAUUUAUUUUUUAAUUUCCCUCAUAUUUUAUGUUUUAUUCAAUUUAGUCCCUAAACUCGAGAUAGGCAUAACUUUCAAUUCCUAGCUUUGGAUUAAAAUAUGAUUUCAUAUAUUCUCGUUAGAGGCCUUAUAUUUUCUAUUUGUAACAUAAUUUCAUGACAGGUUUUACAUUUACUCAAUUUGGUCUCCAACAUAACAAAGUUAACAAACAAGCUAAUUUAACUUUAAAAUCUAGUCAUUUUCAUAUUCUAAGCUUAAAAUCUAUCAAUUUCAAACCAAAUUCUUUAAAUAAUCAACAAUGACAACUUUCUAAAACUUUAACAGAUUCACAAAUUGGUACAUGGGUUAGCUAUAUCAAGCUUUCAUGACCAUAAAUCUAUAAAAUUACAAGAAAAUAGCUUGAUUUCCAUACCUAUUUGAAUGUUCGAAUGACUAAGCCUUAAGAAUGGGUUUUCUCUUUUUCUUUCAAUGGUGAAUCAGCUAAAGAAGUAUGAAGAAGAUGGUAACCUUCUAUUUCUUUCCACUUAUCUUGUUAUUUAUAGUUUAAUUAGUAGCUAAUUAGCUUAAUAAAUCACAAUUAAUUAGCAUAAUCUAACUUUUAACUUCACUUAUUAGAGAUAGAAUCUUCCAUUAACUUUUACAUAAUAAUGGUUUAUUAACCAUUUCGGUCUUUUGGUUAAUUGUUAUCUAGGUCCUCAAGCCUUUUUUUAAUUAAAACUCUAUAAUGAUUGGACUUUACAAUUUUUUCCUGGAGCCUUAAUUAACUAUUAAUUUGACAAUUCAAUAUAUUUUUAUAUUAGCUCGGUAAAUAUUUGUAACACCCUUACCCGACUUGUUCUCUGAGUCUGAGUUUCGGAUGAUACAAAUCCUGAAUAUCUGGCUAACACAUUUGAAUUUUAUUCUCAACUAAUUAACAAUACACAAUAGUCAAUAGUAGCAUAUACACCUUUUAAAAUCGCUAGUUCACAACUUCAUUUAAAACUUUGACUUUAAAACUUGAAAAUUUUAGAACUUGACUAAAACCCCAAGGUAUAACCUCUAAGAGCGCCCCUCUAUAUGCAUGUUAUGACUAUCCCUCCCUUUUUCCUUCAAGUUGGCAAAGUCUGGCUUAGCCCUCCACGCAAUUUCCAAGUGAAAGCUUAUUCCUGCAAUUAAGCAUACUGUUGGUUAGUUCGAUAGAACUUAGUGAUCUUUUGCACGUCGACCAUAUAGCUAAAUUGAAAUUUAAUAAAUAAACCCUAAAAGGAUAUUUUUCCACUCUCUGGUGACCAUUGGCCAUUAGCAGAUUAUUUCAAUGUGUCUUUCUCUUCGCUUUUUUCCUAAAGCCCACCGCUGACUGACUCCUUCAUAAUUUGUAGCAUACACAAAUUCUAUCCAAGGUAGGGGUUCACGAGGAAUACAGAAUUGAACACACCUCAUCCAAGAUUCUUUGUUUCCCCCUUUCGCCACCUUGGAUAAAAGAUUCCCAUGUCAACCAUUAACUAACGAACAUUGGCUUAUUGGGUUUAAAAUUCCGAUCUUCCCUUUUUCCUAGCAAACUAUUUACCCCAGAUAAACCUUAAGCGAGUUCCUUCCUUGUCAUUCCUAGUGACUUAGCCCUUACCCAUGGACCCUGAAGUUUCACUCAUUCAUUUGGUACAUCCUCUAAUUGAAAAAGCCUUAGGUUCUAUUCCAUUUGGCGUUCUUUGCCAAACUUCAUCACCAAGCUAUGAUUUUUCACCUUGUGAAGUCCCAUUUUCACCAUAUCGGUUGAGUCUUCAUGACGUCACAAUCGAGCUACAGUUCUUCACUCUUUUACCCCAAGUUAAAUGUCUCAAUAGAUUUUUCCAAGUCUUCUAACCUGAUAGGUUGCACCAUGUUUUCUAUCCUAACACACUCUAUAUGCUGACAUAAUCGAGCUAUAGACUUACACAGUAGACCCCAUGUAAACGUUAUUAUACAAAAUUGACAUAUGAAAGUAAAAGUUAUUAUUAAAAUCAGAAAGGGAAAAAUACAUUAACCCUUUAAUAUAUUAAAUUAGGAGACAUUAACAGCUAACUAAAUACAUUUUAAGAUUCAAUUUAUAAACACCCACCAAUGCCACCUUUUCUAAUAUUUUUGUUGAUGUUUAGUUGGAAAAAAUUAAACCAACUUAAUCCAAAUUUGCAUCUAUAUAAAUGCCCUUAGCCACUCUGAUCGAUUUCAAGGAUUCACUUAUUAUCUAGUAACUAGUUCUUCAACGUUUCCCUUCCAUUUCUCUCCGUUUUCAAAUCCAGGCUUCAGCAGCCAAUUCUAGUAUUGGAAGCCAAAGGUUAUCGGAUUCCCUGUAAGUUUUAAGUCUCUAUGUGUAUGAUCUACAGUAGUCAGUAACAUACUAGUAUUGGUCUGGUCAGUACAUACUGAUUUCAAAGCACUGUAAUGUUGCAUGCCACAUAACGAUACUAAAAUCAUUUUUCAUUCAAUAUAUAAAUAAAGUUUAUUGCUAACUUGAUAUGUAUGCUUGAUACAUGAAAAAGUAGGUGCAAGAAAUGGCUCCAAGGAAGGGACAAUUAGGCUCAAUUAACGCCCCAUCAUUUGAGACAAAGAAAGAUGAAGCACCUAGUGGUUCGAAAGUUGAUGAUUUGGAGCGGGGACCGGACUAAGGGUUUAUCUACGAGGUCCCUAGGAACAUUCGUCAAGCAAAUCCAAAAGCUUACACUCCUCUAUUAAUUUCAAUUGGUCCUCUUCAUUAUCGGAAAACAAGUUUGCUAGCAUGGCCAAGUAUAAAGUGGAUUAUAAAGAUAAAUUUCUUCAAAGGACUUUCUUUUUCGAGAAGGCAUUGGAAAGUUUUUAGAGCUUCAUUGAACGCAACGAGAAAAAUAUUUUCAGCUGUUACGAGGCUCUAAUCGAUGAAGACGAGUUCGUAAAGACGAUAUUUUAUGAUGCAUUGUUUAUCGUGGAGCUCUUCUUGAGGAACUAUGAGAAGGAAGUGGAAAAAAAUUCGGACAUCAAAGAC
rnacentral:lncRNA from 1 species